rnacentral:rRNA from 1 species
UACGAAGGGGGGCUAGCGUUGUUCGGAAUCACUGGGCGUAAAGCGCACGUAGGCGGAUCUUUUAAGUCAGGGGUGAAAUCCUGGAGCUCAACUCCAGAACUGCCUUUGAUACUGGGGAUCUCGAGUCCGGAAGAGGUGAGUGGAACUCCGAGUGUAGAGGUGAAAUUCGUAGAUAUUCGGAAGAACACCAGUGGCGAAGGCGGCUCACUGGUCCGGUACUGACGCUGAGGUGCGAAAGCGUGGGGAGCAAACAGGG